CGGACGGGAGAGUAAUGUCUGGGAAACUGCCUGAUGGAGGGGGAUAACUACUGGAAACGGUAGCUAAUACCGCAUAACGUCGCAAGACCAAAGAGGGGGACCUUCGGGCCUCUUGCCAUCGGAUGUGCCCAGAUGGGAUUAGCUAGUAGGUGGGGUAAAGGCUCACCUAGGCGACGAUCCCUAGCUGGUCUGAGAGGAUGACCAGCCACACUGGAACUGAGACACGGUCCAG
rnacentral:rRNA from 1 species